ensembl:lncRNA
AUUCUGAGGAUGGGUGGUGAAGUUGGCAUGGUAUUUGAGAUUUACGGAGGUACUGAGGGUGGGUGGUGAAGUUGGCAUGGUAUUUGAGAUUUACGGAGGUUCUGAGAAUGGGUGGUGAAGUUGGCAUGGUAUUUGAGAUUUACGGAGGUUCUGACGAUGGGUGGUGAAGUUGGCAUGGUAUUUGAGAUUUACGGAGGUUCUGACGAUGGGUGGUGAAACAGUGACAGAGAGCGAGUGAAAAGGAAGGAGUUACAAAGUUCAAGUUCAAGUUCAAGUUCAAGUUUAUUAUCAUUUACUCAUAAACAGCAUUUAUCAGUAAUGAAAUUCUUUGUGCUCAAUGUCCGUUCAACUUAGAGAAAAAAA